UACGGAGGGUGCAAGCGUUGUUCGGAAUCAUUGGGCGUAAAGCGCGCGCAGGCGGAUCAGUAAGUCAGAUGUGAAAUCUCGAAGCUCAACUUCGAAGCUGCGUCUGAAACUACUAGUCUAGAGUGUCGGAGGGGGUAGGGGAAUUUCACGUGUAGGGGUAAAAUCCGUAGAGAUGUGAAGGAACACCGGGGGCGAAGGCGCCUACCUGGACGACUACUGACGCUGAGGCGCGAAAGCGUGGGGAGCAAACAGG
rnacentral:rRNA from 1 species